rnacentral:lncRNA from 1 species
UGAAUUUUCUAGCGGAGAUUAAAACAUGUUUCACGUACCUAAAAAUAUCUCAAAAAACCCCAAAUCAAUGUUAAAAAUCCUUUUCAGCCAAUUUCAGAAUUCCACCACAGCGGCAUCACGGUGCUCCGGCGACGGCACCGCCGCCCGUAGCAGCAAUUUGUCUUGAAGUGGCCUUUUUUGUCAGUUUUUGGCCGAUUUCAGUCGGUUUUGUAUCCAUCCAUGCGAGAAAACAUGUUAGGAGACUUCGGUUGGCGUAAAAAAGUCAAAAAAUAAAAACUUACCGGCAGCGAAAUUUUUCGAUGCG